rnacentral:rRNA from 1 species
UACGUAGGGUGCGAGCGUUAAUCGGAAUUACUGGGCGUAAAGCGUGCGCAGGCGGUUUUGUAAGCCAGAUGUGAAAGCCCCGGGCUCAACCUGGGAACUGCAUUUGAGACUGCUCUGCUCGGGUGCGGAAGAGGGAAGCGGAAUUUCCGGUGUAGCGGUGAAAUGCGUAGAUAUCGGAAGGAACACCAGUGGCGAAGGCGGCUCACUGGCCCGGUACUGACGCUGAGGUGCGAAAGCGUGGGGAGCAAACAGG